UACAGAGGGUGCGAGCGUUAAUCGGAAUUACUGGGCGUAAAGCGUGCGUAGACGGUUUCGUAAGUCGGGUGUGAAAGCCCCGGGCUCAACCUGGGAAUUGCAUUCGAGACUGCGUAGCUAGGGUGCGGAAGAGGGAAGCGGAAUUUCCGGUGUAGCGGUGAAAUGCGUAGAUAUCUGGAGGAACACCGGUGGCGAAGGCGGCAUCCUGGACCGAGAUUGACGCUGAGGCGCGAAAGCCAGGGGAGCAAACGGG
rnacentral:rRNA from 1 species